UUCUAGUGUAUGCAUACUGGUACUGUACCAGUUAACUGAGGGUUCGGGUUUAUAGCAUGCGACUAUCCGGGAUUGUCUGUUUCGAAUAAAGAAAAACUGCUAUUGUGUAAGAGAACUUUAGGAACUAUGUGAGAAGUGGUUGCUAAGGAAAUUUGAAAGGCAUGUGAAAUUUGUUAAUAUUAACUCUUUUUAAAAAAAUAAUCAGAUGCCUAAUCUUUUAAUGUUUAUAAUGAAGUUUUAUGUUUUGCAAGUAAAUAUAAAGAAGAAUUAAAAUUAUGUAUCAGGGAAUUAGAAAACCACAAUAUAUCUCUUGAGAAAUGUAAUUUGGUUAAAAACCAUAGAUUCUAGAAAUCGAUAGACAUUAGCAAAAGUUAUGAACUAUAAUUAUGAUUAUGAUACUGAUUAUAUUUAUUUACAAAAAAGAAAGAUUUAUUAGAUAAUUUAAUAAAUAACAAACCUCUUUUUCUAUCCAGGAUUUCUAUCACUAGCUUUAUAUACCUUUUACAAGAAGUGUACAAGUUCAAAUGUAAGCGAUAUAUAUUCGAGGAUAUUAUGUGUGCCUAAUUGACUAUACAUCAUACUUGUUACACUGCACGUUCUAUGCAUGUACUGUCACUAAUAUUGUCGAUCUGUGGGAUGCCAAAUAUGAUGACAGGCAGAUAACCAAUCUAUUCUAUAUGGUUAAAGACUGCAAUACAAAAUAAAACAAUUAUAAGUAAAACAAUAAACAAUCAUAUGUAAAACAAUAGAUAUUAUGAUCAAUAAAUUAUAUACAGUUUGAACUUUAGCCACAGUAUCAAUUAUUUAUGUCACUAAUAACGUUUUAUAGGUUAAAAAUUUAAACAGUGAGACAAUUAAUUAUAUGCAUAUAUAAGUAUAUGUACAUGUAUUAUACAAAGUGUUCUUUGAUAUAGCAAGAAAGUAUUGGUAUAUGUACAAGUACUUGUAACACUGCUAUUUCCCCAGGUUUCAACCCAAAACAACAUAAACAUGAUGCGGCAAGGCACACUCAAACUUGAAUGACGUCGUCUAUCAGAAAAAAUUAACUCGUUCUAAAUCAAUUAAUAUAUACAAGAGUCCCAUGAGGCCACAUCGCUCACCUGAGCUACAAUGACUUUAUGUGGGCGUUCAAAGAAUAUUGUACCAUACGGCCCCUCGGUAGAAUAACAAAAAAUAAAUAUUGUAAAGUAUUCGAAUUUUACACUUGAUUUUGUAUACACUUAAUCUUUGACCUUUAUGGAAUACCAUUUUUACCAAAAAUAAGAAAAUCCUAUGAAAGAUAUAACACUAAACUUUUGGUAGGGUACACUGUUAACUUCCAAUUCCCUAUAUUUACGUUCUGCCCCCCCCCCCCCCCCCUCCCCCACUUUAUAAAGCGAUCAAAAUAUUUGAGAGCAUAUACAUGUACGCACAUAUUCUUCCUUAUACUCACUAGUUAUUUUAUUUUUUAAAAAUUUAUCAUAAUAUCUAUUGUUCGAUAUUACACCAGUUGGUGAAAUGAACUAUAUGGGAAGAAAAUUUCAUUUAAAAAAAUCCUAUAGAUGUGAAGAAUAAAAUUGUGUCUCAAUGCGCAGCGCUCAAUUCCUCAAAUUAAAAACAUUGAAAAAUUUAAUUGGUCUUUCCCAUCAUAAACGACUGUUGUUUGCCUGGCGUGAACUCCCGUGACUUUUUAACCUUACUCACUUGAUUGAUGAAUACACUCGAAUGAAAAAUGUUGUCAUGUGACAUGUAAAAGAGUUAUUAUAUUCAAUGUAUUGAUAGGCAUAUCACUGUAUUUUACUAAAACCCAACCAUUAUUUUCAACUUUAUUCAAAAACAACAAAUGGCUACAAACCAGAAUGAUUUUACGCUGUAAUAUUUUCUUAAGUAUAGCGAUAAUGCAUUUAUCACCGUAAAAAAUGUGUUAAAACUAUGGAAACUGUUUUAACGGUGUCGUUUUUAUUCACAACUAUCAAAAUUAAUGUGGAAUUCAUAUAAUUCAUCAUAUAAAGAGGGGGCCCCAGAAAGAAAAUGCUUAGCAUCUCAACAAAACACAUAUUGCAUUAAUUAACUAUUACGCAAAAGAUCACACGUACGAAUUACCAAUAGAAUGAUUUGUAUUUUAGUACUUUGUUAAUAUACCAGAUUUUGCUUAUUUUGUGCAGGUAAACAGUCAACUGUUUGAUUUACCGAAAUCUAUGUUUCAUUUGAUACGUAAAAAUUACAAAAUACAGGCGAUAGUUCCCCAGGAUAUAAAGCAUAAAUAAUAUGAACAUGAACGAAAAUCAAAACAAGCUAACAGAACACAAAUGUCAAUGUGAAAACUGUCAGCGCAUUUAAUAUAAAUGUCUAUUUACUUAUGCUAAUAAUUGCAUCAACCAAAAAAUCAGAUUUGGUUUUAUUCAGUAAACAAUAUAUCCUACAAAGUUAAAUUUAAACAUCAAUGCAAAUGUCAUUUGAAAAUAAUAACCAAACUACUGUUGCUUUUUCAAGAUUGCAAUUAUAAUCUAUAUGACAUUUAUUGAUAAGUUAUAUUUUAUUUUGAAAAAAAAUAUUUUCACAUGUGCAAAUCCUGAAAGUUUCUUCCUGCCUUUUCUUGUGACAAAUUUUUAUUCCAAAGACGUUAAAAGCAUUUUCCAAAAAAAAAAAAACCUCAUCAUCUUUAAAGUCUACAAUAUUAGCUUUUGUAUGUGUAACGUGUACAGUAUAUUCAUAAAAAGUGCUUAAAUCAUUUCAAUGCAGUAAAAGUAAAUGUAUUUGGAUUUGUUUAUCUUUAUACUUAUCCUUAUACAUGUAAUUUUAUAUAUGUAAACAGUUUCCUGAAAACCGACAACGUUGUUAUUCGUGAUAAUAAGUAUCUAAUUAAAAAAAUAUUUACGGACGGAAUAAAUAAACACAAGAAAUAUUCAAGAUUCUUUACCUAAUCUAAUAUAAUUAUAUAUGAUUAUGUGCUUAAAAUAAUGGAGAAAAGAGACCAAAAAUUAUAGUUUUCGUUAUUGUAACACAGCACAUUUACACUGUGAAUUAUUAUCCGGUUCAAAAUCAUUCAUAUGCGGACAUAUUAAACUGCAUGCCUGACGGAAAACACUUCAAUUAUAUAGAAAUAAUAUUAGCAUAUCAUUUUAGUUAUGAUGACGAAUUGUUCAUAAUUAAGUGAAGAAGGCAGUAUGAAAUAUAUUCAUUCUCUUGGAGUUUUCUUUUCAACACUGAUUAUUCUUAAAAUGCCUGUCAAAGCCUAUGAAAUACGGGAAGCCUACCAGUCCUCUACCAAUGGAUCGUACGUGGCUUAUCUCGGAUGUGAUGGUGACAUGGACACAUUCUCUUUGACAAAUUACGGAAACAAGGAAUCAUGGUCUGUUUUACUGGAUAAAAUCUAUAAAAUCACAUGGAUUUUCGUCCGCAUCAGAGCCGGUUCAUAUGAAUUCAAAAUUGAACUGAGUACACAGGGAACAUCAUCUGAUAAAUGUUCAGAUAUCAAGCCAGCUACUGCUGAAACGUCAGAGGUUAUGGAGAAGAUAGUAACCUGCACCUAUAGUGAUAAAAUCGAAUAUAGAUUGGGAAAUAAACUCACCCUCACCAGUAUCCAACCUGCUGUCAUGCAGGUAUUAGAGAUAACUGCUUUAGGACUUUUUCAGUUGGACAAAGAAUUGGUUCAGAAAGUAUCAAAUUUUCCUACAUCAGAAGCCUUGGACAACAAUUUGAAUACUUAUUACCAUUCUGAAUGAAGAAGUAAUGCGUCGUGGUUUUUGAAAUUGAACGAAGUCAAAGUUGUAAAAUGGAUUCUUAUUUCGAUCAGAGGAGGUCAAUACGAAAUACAUAUUAGUGUUGGAAACACCGCCAUUUGUUUGGCUACCAGAUGCAAAGCAUUUGAAUUGCCUGGAAUAUCAGAACAACAGCAGACAGCAAUAGAAUGUGACGCAGCACUAAGUGGAGAUACAGUUAUAGUGAAAAAGAUAGGUGAUGGGCCAUUGAGACUGUUUGAAGUGUAUCCCAUAAUAUGCCCUUCAAAUCACUUCGGGCCAAACUGUGCAAGAUGUCGACAGAGUUGUCGGUCCUGUGAUUCUAUCACUGGGGAGUGUACUGAAUGCAAUGGUUCGUACUACGGAGAAAAUUGUCAUAACAGCUGUCCAAGGAACUGCCUAAAUUCGAUAUGCAACCAACAGACAGGGUCCUGUAAUGGUUGUGUGGAUCAUUACAGAGGCAAAACCUGCAAUGAAUAUAUUGAUCCGAAUGCAAACAAAAACACACUCCAUUGUAAUCACUCGUUUGUCACGUGUGAACAAAACAUCAAGGUGUGUAUGGUGUGUACCUCGAGUUUAAUGCUUGAACAGUGCAAAUAUAGCUGUGAAG